AUGUUUGACUUCCUUAUGGGGUCCGGAUUCGAGCGGUUCCUCAAGCAGCUCGCCCAGAUCGAGGCCGGCGGCUUCGGCGCCGUCGGCCCCUGCGACAACCCACCGGACUGCAAGGCCGCCGUCAAGCCCAUGCCCACCGUCAUCGUCUCAGCCUACCCUAUCCACGUCGGCGUCGACUCCCACUGCGUCGUCUGCAAGGAGGCCUUCGAGCUGGGCGACUAG
rnacentral:rRNA from 1 species